GAUGAACGCUGGCGGCGUGCCUAAUACAUGCAAGUCGAGCGAACAGACGAGGAGCUUGCUCCUCUGACGUUAGCGGCGGACGGGUGAGUAACACGUGGAUAACCUACCUAUAAGACUGGGAUAACUUCGGGAAACCGGAGCUAAUACCGGAUAAUAUAUUGAACCGCAUGGUUCAAUAGUGAAAGACGGUUUUGCCGUCACUUAUAGAUGGAUCCGCGCCGCAUUAGCUAGUUGGUAAGGUAACGGCUUACCAAGGGAACGGUGCGUAUCCGAACUGAGAGGGUGAUCGGCCACACUGGAACUGAGACACGGUCCAGACUCCUACGGGAGGCAGCAGUAGGGUAUCUUCCGCAAUGGGCGAAAGCUUGACGGAGCAACGCCGCGUGAGUGAUGAAGGUCUUCGGAGCGUAAAACUCUGUUAUUAGGGAAGAACAAAUGUGUAAGUAACUAUGCACGUCUUGACGGUACCUAAUCAGAAAGCCACGGCUAACUACGUG
rnacentral:rRNA from 1 species